GAACAGACGAGGAGCUUGCUCCUCUGACGUUAGCGGCGGACGGGUGAGUAACACGUGGAUAACCUACCUAUAAGACUGGGAUAACUUCGGGAAACCGGAGCUAAUACCGGAUAAUAUAUUGAACCGCAUGGUUCAAUAGUGAAAGACGGUUUUGCUGUCACUUAUAGAUGGAUCCGCGCCGCAUUAGCUAGUUGGUAAGGUAACGGCUUACCAAGGCAACGAUGCGUAGCCGACCUGAGAGGGUGAUCGGCCACACUGGAACUGAGACACGGUCCAGACUCCUACGGGAGGCAGCAGUAGGGAAUCUUCCGCAAUGGGCGAAAGCCUGACGGAGCAACGCCGCGUGAGUGAUGAAGGUCUUCGGAUCGUAAAACUCUGUUAUUAGGGAAGAACAAAUGUGUAAGUAACUAUGCACGUCUUGACGGUACCUAAUCAGAAAGCCACGGCUAACUACGUGCCAGCAGCCGCGGUAAUACGUAGGUGGCAAGCGUUAUCCGGAAUUAUUGGGCGUAAAGCGCGCGUAGGCGGUUUUUUAAGUCUGAUAUGAAAGCCCACGGCUCAACCGUGGAGGGUCAUUGGAAACUGGAAAACUUGAGUGCAGAAGAGGAAAGUGGAAUUCCAUGUGUAGCGGUGAAAUGCGCAGAGAUAUGGAGGAACACCAGUGGCGAAGGCGACUUUCUGAUCUGU
rnacentral:rRNA from 1 species